GAAUUGAAGAUGCUUUUCUGGAAGUUCCGAAAGUAUUUGCCAACGCUGCGCAGUUCAAAAGAUUUGCAUUGUCUAGGAAAGGUUUAUCGCUCAGUAUGCUGGAGGUCGAAAACAUAAAGGACAAUGCAAGAUCUGUUGAAGAAAGGAAUCUACAAAUGUUGACUCAGUGGAAAUACAAGAAUGGUGAAUCAGCAACAACUGAAAAAAUCUGGCAACUAGUAGAUGGUUUCCUGAAUAAAGAUGAUGAAUCUGACCAAGAUUCUCCUCAUCCAACAACACUCGCGUAAUCUGUGGAAGAGGAGAGAGUGUCUAAUGUUCCACUCAGUUCAUCUCUAUUUCAAUCAGCUGAUCAACUUCCAAAGCCAGAAGGGCCACCUGGAGGUGAAGUUGCACGAUGUGAAGAACCGAAAAGAGUGUCCAGUGUUCCAUCACCUCAACUUGGUGCAUCUCCAUUUGGUUCUCGAUCAUCUGAACCCCUUAUGGAUCCACGAGGGGCACAUGGAGGAGAAG